rnacentral:rRNA from 1 species
GUCCACGCCGUAAACGAUGGAUACUAGCUGUUGGGUUGCAAGACUCAGUGGCUAAGCGAAAGUGAUAAGUAUCCCACCUGGGGAGUACGUUCGCAAGAAUGAAACUCAAAGGAAUUGACGGGGGCCCCGCACAAGCGGUGGAGCAUGUGGUUUAAUUCGAUGAUACGCGAGGAACCUUACCAAGGCUUAAAUGUAGAUUGACAGGUUUGGAAACAGACUUUCCUUCGGGCAAUUUACAAGGUGCUGCAUGGUUGUCGU